UUUAAAGAAACAAAGAUAACUUUCGACAAACAGACCGCAUUAUGUUGCUGUUAAAAUAUAUUUUUUCAGUAAUAAUCAUUCUUACAUUCCUUCCAGCUGGGGAAUGUCUCGAUUGUUUCACAUGCACGAAUGUAACAGCUGUUUCGCUAUGUAAAACGACGAAGACGUGCAAGCCCGGAGAUGCGUGUUUUGCAGAACAUUUGCAGACUGCAAAUGGAGUGAUACUUUCAUACGGAUGCAGGCCAGUCGGUAUAUGUUUCACUAUCACCACAUUCCCAACAACUGGAAGUGACAGAGAGUCAGGGUCAAUUGUAGGUCGAGCUUCCGCGAUUUCUACAGCAGCGUGUUCUGAAUGCUGUCAGGACCAUAACUGUAACAGACAACUGUGCCAGCACUCUUAUCCACGAUGUGCAGACAGUCCUAAAGCUAACUGUGCCGUUAUUGGAACGAUGAUGAAUAUAUGUUUGGAUACACAACAUGCCAAAACCAUUUGUCGGCGUUUCUGUGGCUUGUGCAACUACUAUGACGGAUCUUGGUCAAGCUGGUUGUCAUGGUCAAAUUGUGACGUCACAUGCGGAAAUGGAAUACAAACACGUGACAGAACUUGUACCGAACCCGCUCCAUCAGGUGGCGGACAUGACUGUGUCGGGCCGUCACGUGACACAAAAACAUGUGCAUUGCAGCCAUGCCCGGUCCAUGGAGGAUGGUCGGCCUGGGCUUCUUGGGGAAGUUGUAGUGUAACCUGCGGUGUUGGUACUCAGAGAAGAGACCGAGCGUGCUCGAAUCCCUAUCCGAAGCGAUUUGGCGACCAUUGCUUCGGGGACUCAAGAGAUGACAAAAUAUGUAUCGCUAAUGCUUGUCAGGAUGGUGGAUGGUCAGCCUGGAAGUCUUGGACAACCUGCAGCACUACAUGUGACGAGGGAAUCAAAACACGAUCCCGUACUUGUGACAAUCCCUAACCGUCUAUACACGGACACUAUUGUCAAGGAGAACCGUACGAAGUAAACUCUUGCAAUGUCAAACCUUGUCCAGUGACACACGGACACUGGAGUACCUGGACGACUUGGUCUUCCUGCACAGCUACUUGUAACGGAGGAAUCAAAUCGAGAUACCGUGACUGCAGCAAUCCUAUGCCAUCUGCUGGAGGAAAUCUAUGUACUGGCAGCCCGUAUGAAAUGACCGCAUGUAAUCCAGAGAAAUGUUCCGUAACAAAUGGAGGUUGGGGGCAGUGGUCCGACUGGUCAAGUUGCACUGCAACGUGUGACCUCGGAGUGACAUAUCGUUAUCGGAACUGUAAUCAUCCGGAACCUUCAAACGGAGGCAAAUUCUGUACUGGUAGUUCUUUCGAAAUAACAAAGUGCAACUCUGAGUAUUGCCAGUUGACGAACGGGCAAUGGAACGACUGGUCCAGCUGGAGUUACUGUCGUACCCAUCAACGGAAACGCUAUCAAACAAUUCCUUGGACUCACAAAAAAUCGAACAUGCCAAUCUGGCGAUGUCUGCUCUGGCGAACAUUUUGUGAUAAAAGACUGCCCUUAUUAAUAGCAAUGCCAUAACUAUGUCUUAAUUUUUUGUUCAGGUCAGAAAAAUUACACUGUUUUUUGGCUAUCUGGAAGGAGUGCAUUUUAGAAGAAUGAAAGAAUCUAAGAUUCUUUUUCCUACCUUUUUAUUUUUCAUUUGAAAAUGACUGUCUGAGAAGCUGAAAUAUGAGUUUGUUUUUUUGUUGUUAUUAAUCCAUCACUGUAAUUUUCUUUGUUUUGUUAUUUUGUAGCAUAUAUGUCUUGAGAUUCAACCUCUUCAUUUAUGUCAAGAAGCAUACAGUACAUACAACAGCUAAAUUUUGUUUUCGUGUUUGUUAUUUCCCUGUCAGAAAAAUGAAGAGGAAUUGAUCAGUUCUGGUAUGACCUAAAAUAAAUCAGUUUCAUUCUUAGCCUGUUAGCUAAAAUAAAAACAAUUUGUAAAACACUACUGUCAAUACAGAAAUAUAAAAACCGUUCGUUAAUUAAGCGUGUAAAAUGAAACCUUAUGUUUGAGUAUCAGUCGUAAAAAUUGAGCAUGAAAAUUGAAAAAGGUAAAUUUGGUUAUAGGGAAUUUUCGUAAAAUGGCUCAGAAUAUUUUAUCACUAGAUUAAAUAUAGAGAGAUACAUCCCAUAAAAUUUCAUAACUGAUAAAUGUAUGCAAGUUUCCGAAUUUAUUACCCGUGUACUUCGCAUAGCCAACUCCAAUGCAUGCCAAAAGUAUUUCGUUGAGCGAUUGAGGAAUGACGUUCAGGGAACAACAGAGAAAGUAGGUUAACGCCUGAUUAUACAGGCAACAGCGAGUAAAAGUAAAUGAUAGGACUACACUGAACUUACGGUUACACUUUUUGUAUGGUCAUGGAACCAAGAACCGAGUUCUUUGUCAUUAAAGUAACAUUUGAUAAGUAAACUGGCGAAAUUGCUCCGCUGGAAAAUAUCACAAAACUGUUUUACUGACGGUAGUUCCGGUAGCCGACCACCAGCUUUCUUUUACGCCAACAUUUACAUUUUCUGAAGAGUUUUUUUUCUUUGUUUUUUGAGGCCCCUUGUGGGUAACCCCGUUUAUUAUCUCCGUAACUGGUAUAAUAGGGGUCGGAGAACCAUCCGCCUAUUAACCUUACAAUAUCCAAUACAUUUAAAUAUUUAGAUAUAUAAUAAAAGUUACUACAUGCAUACACAGUACCAUACAUAAUACCAUAUUUACAAACAGUUGAUGAUAUUCACUAAUUGUAUCUUUUCUGGCACAUAAAAAACAAUUUGUGAUGAAUGUAUGAUGCUUUUGAUGUAAAAAAGGAAAUAAAUUAUAAAAACAGUUGAUGGUAUUUCUAAUUUAAGAUAAUAAACGGACCUCAAGAAAG